UCUCUUAUAUAAUUAAUAACAACCCAUUCCUAUCCGAUAUGUGAUUAUUGAAGUGUCACAUACUUUUCCAUUUAGACUCUAACAUCAUCGUCAGCUCUAAACACACAUACAACCCAAGAUUACUAGGCGAUGUGAAACUUGUCUCGUUAGUCUUGGCUUAGCCUGUCAUCUUAUCAUUCCGACCAUGGCUCAGUCGAGACUUAUCUCACACUUUCGGUUGGUAUCCUGACGUCUUCGUCAGCCCUAAACGCACACACAAUCCAAGAUUACUAGACAAUAUGAAACUUGUCUCGCUAGUCUUGGUUUAGCUUGUCACUUUGUCAUUCUGAUCCUGGCUCAAUUCAGACUUAUCUCACACUUUCGGUUGGUGAUUGACUCUGAUACCAAAUAUAACGAUCCGACUCACUAGCAAUAAUAACUCGUUGGACCCAAAGUACUAACCCAAAAUACUUAACCCCAGUUAUUAUUAUUAUGGUAGAGUUCUCUUAUAUAACUAAUGACAAUCUAUUCCCAUCCGAUAUGGAACUAUUGGGGUGUCACACAGGGAUUUGUGGCUUAAAAGGG
rnacentral:lncRNA from 1 species